rnacentral:lncRNA from 1 species
UAUUUCAAUGAGAGAGGAAAGCUCAUGUCAUUUCUUGCCUUCUUUUUCCCCUAGCAGGCAUUUACCCAGUGGAUAUUUUGGAAGAUGACCCUGCUGGGCGUUGGUAAGCGGCUCUGGCUUACUGUGCCACUCUUGGGGAAGGAGCAUGGCCCUCACCAGAGGUUUUCUCUCUUCCCACUGGGGAGCAGGUUAAACUUGAAGCUUCGUCUGUUUGCUUUUGCACUGUGCACUGUGAUGAACCUCAACAUAAAAUCUUGGUCUUGGUUAAUCCCCAGGACACAAAGACAGAAUAGAACUGAUGAACCUGGACUUUGGCAUUAGAUUCGACAGACUUGGCAUCCUGGCUCUGACAACUGACUGAGUGACCCAGGUAAGUGAUUUGGCCCCUCUGA